AUUGAACGCUGGCGGCAGGCCUAACACAUGCAAGUCGAGCGGAUGAAGGGAGCUUGCUCCUGGAUUCAGCGGCGGACGGGUGAGUAAUGCCUAGGAAUCUGCCUGGUAGUGGGGGAUAACGUCCGGAAACGGGCGCUAAUACCCCAUACGGCCUGAGGGAGAAAGUGGGGGAUGUUCGGACCUCACGCUAUCAGAUGAGCCUGGGUCGGAUUAGCUAGUUGGUGGGGUAAAGGCCUACCAAGGCGACGAUCCGUAACUGGUCUGAGAGGGUGUUCAGUCACAGUGGGACUGGGACACGGCACAGACUCCUACGGGCGGCAGCAGUGGGGAAUAGUGGAAGAUGGGCGAAAGACUGAUCAAUCCACGCAGCGUGUGUGCAGAAGGUCUUCGGAUUGUAAAGCACUUUAAGUUGGGAGGAAGGCUAGUACGUUAAACCAUUCCUGUUUUGACGUUACCAACAGAAUAAGCACCGGCUAACUUCGUG
rnacentral:rRNA from 1 species